AUUGAACGCUGGCGGCAGGCCUAACACAUGCAAGUCGAGCGCGCGGCGGACGGGGGAGUAAUGUAUGGGGACUGCCCGAUAGAGGGGGAUAACUACUGUAAACGGUAGCUAAUACCGCAUACCAUAGGAUUACCCAUAUGGGCGGAGAUAGUAGGUGUGGUAAUGGCUCACCUAGGCGACGAUCCCUAGCUGGUCUGAGAGGAUGAUCCGCCACACGGGGACUGAGACACGGCCCAGCCUCCUACGGAGGCAGCAGUGGGGAAUAUUGCACAAUGGGCGCAAGCCUGAUGCAGCCAUGCCGCGUGUAUGAAGAAGGCCUUCGGGUUGUAAAGUACUUUCAGUCGGGAGGCGUUACCCACAGAAGAAGCACCGGCUAACUCCGUGCCAGCAGCCGCGGUAAUAC
rnacentral:rRNA from 1 species